rnacentral:rRNA from 1 species
GACGAACGCUGGCGGCGUGCUUAACACAUGCAAGUCGAACGGAAAGGCCUCUUUCGGGGGGUACUCGAGUGGCGAACGGGUGAGUAACACGUGAGUAACCUGCCCUUGACUUUGGGAUAACUUCAGGAAACUGGGGCUAAUACCGGAUAGGAGCUCCUGCUGCAUGGUGGGGGUUGGAAAGUUUCGGCGGUUGGGGAUGGACUCGCGGCUUAUCAGCUUGUUGGUGGGGUAGUGGCUUACCAAGGCUUUGACGGGUAGCCGGCCUGAGAGGGUGACCGGCCACAUUGGGACUGAGAUACGGCCCAGACUCCUACGGGAGGCAGCAGUGGGGAAUACUGCACAAUGGGUGGAAGCCUGAUGCAGCAACGCCGUGUGCGGGAUGACGGCCUUCGGGUUGUAAACCGCUUUCGCUCAUGACGAAGCCUUGUGUGACGGUAGUGGGUAAAGAAGCACCGGCUAACUACGUG